rnacentral:tRNA from 1 species
GGGGAUAUAGCUCAGUUGGUAGAGUGCCUGCCUCACAUGUACAAGGCCCUGGGUUCAAUCCCCAGCACCACCA